GAUGAAGAACGUAGUGAAAUGCGAUAAGUAAUGUGAAUUGCAGAAUUCAGUGAAUCAUCGAAUCUUUGAACGCACAUUGCGCCCGCCAGUAUUCUGGCGGGCAUGCCUGUCUGAGCGUCAUUUCAACCCUCAUGCCCCUAGGGCGUGGUGUUGGGGAUCGGCCAAAGCCCGCGAGGGACGGCCGGCCCCUAAAUCUAGUGGCGGACCCGUCGUGGCCUCCUCUGCGAAGUAGUGAUAUUCCGCAUCGGAGAGCGAUGAGCCCCUGCCGUUAAACCCCCAACUUUCCAAGGUUGACCUCAGAUCAGGUAGGAAUACCCGCUGAACUUAAGCAUAUCAACAAGCGGAGGA
rnacentral:misc_RNA from 1 species